rnacentral:rRNA from 1 species
CCAAUAGCGUAUAUUAAAGUUGUUGCAGUUAAAAAGCUCGUAGUUGAAUUUCGGGAUUUAUCCGUCGGUCGGGCUUUCGGGUCUGUACUGGCGUGAUGGAUUCCUACCUUCUGAAUAACCGGCAUGUCAUUAAUUUGGUGCGCCGGGGAAGCAGGACUGUUACCUUGAAAAAAUUAGAGUGCUUAAAGCAGGCUUAUGCCUGAAUACAUUAGCAUGGAAUAAUGAAAUAGGACGGCAUGGUUCUAUUUUGUUGGUUUCUAGGAUCACCGUAAUGAUUAAUAGGGAUAGUUGGGGGCAUUAGUAUUCAAUUGUCAGAGGUGAAAUUCUUGGAUUUAUUGAAGACUAACUUCUGCGAAAGCAUUUGCCAAGGAUGUUUUCAUUAAUCAAGAACGAAAGUUAGGGGAUCGAAGACGAUCAGAUACCGUCGUAGUCUUAACCAUAAACUAUGCCGACUAGGGAUCGGACGAUGUUAAUUUUUUAAUGACUCGUUCGGCGCCUUACG